GCUUAAUACUCUUUAUCCCAGGCACAAUUUGUGAUGUAUUUCCCAAGUGCAUUCCCACCUAUAGUUUUUCACAAUAACUUUAAUCUUCCUAAAAUACUGGUCUGAUCUGGGAACUCUCCUACUCAAAAAUCUUCAGUCUCUCCCUAUUACCUAUAGAUUUAAUGAUCAAUUAUUCAGCCUAGGCAUUUUCAAUCUUAACAUCUCCUUUUAUUCGCCUUUGUGUUCUAGCAAAAUCAAACAUCUAGUUGCCCUCUGAAUUUGACAUUCCAUAACACGGUGUAGUGGAAAGAACUGUGGAUCCAUCAUCUGAGGACUUCAGUUUAAAUUUCUGGUCUGCUAUUUUUCACCUGUGUGACUUCAGAGGAGUGGGACAGUACAUCCUACAAAGCAGAAGUCCACCAACACAGAAAAUCCUCCAAUGCAGAGACAUCAACACAGAAAUUCUCCAAUGUAGAAGAAGUGCCACACAGAAGAAUCCAAUUCAGAGACACCAACGUAGAAGUCCUCCCUCAGCAAGAGCCACCAGCUCAGCAGAAGCAGAAAAAGUGACCCAGAAUGCUCUUGCUGGC
rnacentral:lncRNA from 1 species